rnacentral:lncRNA from 1 species
AUUCAAGUGACUGAUAAAAAUUCCUUUGUUUUCAUGGCCAUAGUUUUACAUUUUCAAAACGUGUAUAAGAUUCUGCAGCUGCAGUUUCUCAAAUUUGCUUUCCUUGUGGAAAUGAAGCUUUACUAAGAGCCAAAUUGCUUGAUGCUAUGAUUUUGUUUACAUAUCUUUUGAAAGGAUACAAUUGGAAAUGAUGAUAUCACUGUCUUGCAGGUAGCCAAUACCCUUGGCUGUGUGAAUUUUGGCUGAGAUGGUGAGGAGUGCUGCCACCCAAGUAUGAUUCCACCGCCAACUCCAUCGAUGUUUCACGCUGAGAAUGGGAACAAGUUUACCGUAAGUGUACGCAUGUACGUUACUGAUGAUAUGCUGCAUGGGAACUGCUGAAUCACGGCCUGAACCUCUGAUUGACCACCUGAGGCGAGCAAAGAGUCAGCCCUGGGAGCACAAGUAGAGCCUGGCUCCACCUUUCCCAGACCCUAUUUAAGAGCUGAAGGCCACUGCAGAAGGAUCUCUUUUGGAAAUUGCUUCUCUUGGAGUCUUCUCAGUGAGCCCAGAAGAAAGGUAAGCUUUCCAUCCAUUCUUCUUUAGUGUGAUAAUCUGUUUAGCCUAACUUUC